rnacentral:rRNA from 1 species
GAAAACCACUUAAAUAGCUCCACUAACACCUGAUUCAUGCUAAUUCACAAUAUAUAUAGGUUUUCCACCUAUUUCCACCUCAAAACUCUCCAAAACUAGCACAAAACAUGAUGCCAAACUUGUGAAUUUACACACUCAUCACAUGUUCUUCCAAGUGCCAUAGAGGGUGAGAGCCCCGUUGCUUUCGGAACCUAUCGCAUCAUAAGGCGCUAUCGGCGAGUUGGGUUGUUUAGGAAUGCAGCCCCAAUUGGGAGGUAAAUUCCAUUCAGGGCUAAAUACGGGCGAGAGAUCGAUAGCGAACAAGUACCGUGAGGGAAAGAUGAGCAGGACUUUGAAAAGAGAGUCAAAGAGUGCUUGAAAUUAUCGGAAGGGAAGCGGAUGGGGGCCGACGAUGCGUCCCGGUCGGAUGUGGAAUGGCAAGAGCCAGUCCACCGAUCGACUCGGGGCACAGACCAGCAUGGAUCGAUGCGGCGCUCAAAGCUCGGGUAGUUGAUAUGCUCAUUGUAUGGCGUCGUGUCGAUCCAGGCAGACAACGCGCACCUCGUGCGUGCCAUGAUAACUACACAUUCCCAGUGCUAGCCUACUGGCUCCUCAUUCGACCCGUCUUAAAACACGGACCAAGGAGUCUGACAUGUGCACGAGUCAACGGGCGAUUAAACCCGUAAGAUGCAAGGAAGUUGACCGACACGAUCCCUCCAAGGGGUGCACCGCCGACCGACCAUGAUCUUCUGAGAAGGGUUCGAGUGAGCAUACCUAUCGGGACCCGAAAGAUGGUAAACUAUGCCUGAGUGGGGCAAAGCUAAAGGAAACUCCGGUGGAGGCCCGCAGUGAUACUGACAUGCAAAUCGUUCAUCUAACUUGGGUAUAGGGGCAAAAGACUAAUCGAACCGUCAAGUAGCUGGUUCUCUUGGAAGUUUCCCUCAGGAUAGCUGGAGCUCUAGUACGAGUUCUAUUAGGUAAAGCUAAUGAUUAGAGGUAUUGGGGGUGCAACGCCCUCGACCUACUCUCAAAUUUUAAAUAGGUAGGACGGUGCGGCUGCUCCGUUGCGCCGCAUCGGAGAAUAUUGAUCUCAAAGUGGGCCAUUUUUGGUAAGGAAAACUGGCAAUGUAGGAUAAAUCGGAAGCUGGGUUACGGUGCCCAACUAUGUGCAAAUCUAGAUCUCACAAAGGGUGUUAGUCGAUUAAGACAGCAGGACGGUGGUCAUGGAAGUCAAAAUCCAUUAAGGAGUGUGUAAAACUCACAUACCAAAUCAACUAGCCCCGAAAAUAAAUGGCACUGAAGCGCGCGACCUAUACCCAGCCAUUGGGGCAAGGGCUAGGCCCUGAUGAGUAAGAGGGCGCGGUGGUCACUGUAAAACCCUGGGCGCGAGCCCAUGCAGAGCGGCCGUCGGUGCAGAUCUUGGUGGUAGUAGCAAAUAUUCAAAUGAGAACUUUGAAGGCAGAAGAGGGGAAAGGUUCCAUGUGAACGGCACUUGCACAUGGGUUAGUCGAUCCUAAGGGUCGCGGGAAGCCCAAUAGACAGUGCGUUCAGCGCGUGCUCCGAAAGGAAAUUGGGUUAAAUUUCCCGAACCGGGAUGCGGCGAUUGACAGUAACAUUAGGGAGUCCAGAGAUGUUAACGGGGGCCUCGGGAAAAGUUAUUUUUUCUGUUUAACAGCCCGCCCAUCCUGGAAACAGCUCAGCCAGAGGUAGGGUCCAGCGGCUGGAAGAGCACCGCAUGUCGCGUGGUGUCCGGUGCAUCCCCGGCAGCCCUUGAAAAUCCUAAGGACCGAGUACCGUCCGUGCCCAGUCGUACUCAUACCCACAUCAGGUCUCUAAGGUGAACAGUCUCUGGUCGAUGGAACAAUGUAGGUAAGGUAACUCGGCAAAAUGGAUUUGUAACCUUGGGAAAAGGAUUAGCUCUGAGGGCUGGGCACGGGGGUCCCAGUCCCGAACCCAUCGGCUAUCGACCAACUGCUCUAGCUGCUCGCGCGGCAAGAGCGGGUCGUCGCGUGCCGGCCGAGGGACAGACUGGGAAUGGCUCCCUUGGAGGCCUUCCCUAGGCGUCGAACAGUCAACUCAGAACUAGUACGGACAAGGGGAAUCCGACUGUUUAAUUAAAACAAAGCAUUGUGAUGGUCCCUGCGGAUGCUCACACAAUAUGAUUUCUGCCCAGUGCUAUGAAUGUAAAAGUGAAAAAAUUCAACCAAGCACGGGUAAAUGGCGGGAGUAACUAUGACUCUCUUAAGGUAGCCAAAUGCCUCGUCAUCUAAUUAGUGACGCGCAUGAAUGGAUUAAUAAGAUUCCCACUAUCUCUGUCUACUUUCCAGCGAAACCACAGCCAAUGGAAUGGGCUUGGCGGAAUUAGUGGGGAAAGAAGACCCUGUUGAGCUUGACUCUAGUCCGACUUUGUGAAAUGACUUGAGAGGUGUAUGAUAAGUUGGAGCCAAAAGGCAAAAGUGAAAUACCACUACCUUUAACAUUAUUUUACUUAUUCUGUGAAUCGGAGGUGGGGCAUCGCCCCUUUUGGUCCCAAGGCUAGCCCCGCGGGCCGAUUCGGGCGGAAGACAUUGUUAUGUGGGGAGUUUAGCUGGGGCGGCACAUCUGUUAAAAGAUAACAUAGGUGUCCUAAGAUAAGCUCAAUGAGAACAGAAAUCUUGUGUGGAACAGAUGGGUAAAAGGUUGUUUGAUUCUGAUUUCCAAUACGCAUACAAACCGUGAAAGCAUGGACUAACGAUCCUUUAGACCUUCGGAAUUUGAAGCUAGAGGUGUCAAAAAAGUUAUCAUAGGGAUAACUGACUUGUGGUAGCCAAGCGUUCAUAGCGAUGUUGCUUUUUGAUCCUUUGAUGUCGGCUCUUCCUAUCAUUGUGAAGUAUAAUUCACCAAGUGUUAGAUUGUUCACCCACCAAUAGGGAACUGAGCUGGGUUUAGACUAUCGUGAGACAGGUUAGUUUUACCCUACUGAUGAUGGUGUGGCAAUAGUAAUUCAACCUAGUACGAGAGGAACCAUUGAGUCGCACAAUUGGUCAACGCUCUUGGUUGAAAAGCCAGUGGCGCGAAGCUACCGUGCGCUGGAUUAUGACUGAACGCCUCUAAGUCAGAAUCCGAGCUAGACAUGACGCAUCGCCCGCCAUCCACUGCCUAACCCGUAGUAGGGGACCCCGGGCCCCCAUGGGCAUGUGUCGUUGGCCAAGCCCCCAUGGCGAAAGAGCCGCGUGGGCCGCCUCGAAGUGCAAUUCCAAUCGAGCGGUGGAUAUAAUCCUUUGCAGACGACUUAAAUACGUGAUGGGGUAUUGUAAGCGGCAGAGUGGCCUUGCUACCAUGAUCUACUAAGAUUU